ensembl:lncRNA
UAUCAAUGCAGGUUCAUUCACCUGGAACAAUAUUGUAAACUCAAAAGGAUGAUUUAGACAACUUUAUAACUUAAAAAUCUUUGAGUUAUAUUAUGCUAAAAAAAAAAUAUGCUAAUAGAUUUACCACAUCAAUGUCCAGUGCUUUGUUAUUUUUAAACAUGUCAAACUACUAUAUUAAGGUGUCGUUCAGAUUUAAUAUCUUUCAGAUAAACAUAUAGAUUUACCAAUAAAUGUUGAUUUAUCUUAAAAUUAUAUUUUGCCUGUUUAUUCUCUCAUGUCUUCAGCUCGUCUGCCUGUUCCUGUCAUCAGCAGAGAUNUUCAGUGGUGAAUGUGGGUCAUGUGACUCUCUCCUGGUACAAAGGAAACAGUUUAUUGUCCAGCAUCAGUGUGUCUGAUCUCAGCAUCAGUCUCUCUCUACCUCUGGAGGUGGAAUAUCAGGAUAAAAACAGCUACAGCUGUGUGCUCAACAAUCCCAUCAGCAACCAGACUCAACAUCUGGACAUCAGUCAACUAUGUCAACCAUGUGCAGCACAAGGACUGUCUGUAGGUGUUAUAGUGGGGAUAUGUGUUGGUCUUCUGCUGGUAGCUGGGGGAGCUGGGGGAGCUGGGAUUUACUGUUGCUACAAAAAGUUUGCAAAAGGAAAUGGUUAGUGUUACAUACAGCUGAUACAAUGAGAAAACUGUCAAAAUCCUUUGGGGAAAAAUUACUUAGUAACUACUAAUUCUUCUAGCUUGGUAGAUUUAUAUUAUUCUGCUCUUUGACUUAUUUACACUUGUUUACAUAAAGUGAUUAUUUUAUAACAGAUCAGACACCAAGGCAUCAAGCUAUUCCACUAGACAUUGGUAAGGUAUUAUAUUUCUUGAUGUACUGUAUAUUAAUAACUGACUGUUGUGUUUGAAUGUAUGAGAUGUGGCUUCAUCCACUUUAUACAUUUCUGUUAAAGACAGAAUUGUUUUUUUGUCCAAAUAAAUAGAUUUGUUAUAUCCUGGAUGUAAAAAAACUCGGUUACUGCUAUUCCCUCCAUUGGUAGGAAAAGGUACAGAGUUAGUACAAAACCAGACUUAGUCCAAACCACAGUCUAUUUAGCAAUUAACUAAAUGACCAUUGCAAGAAAUGCCAUGGAGAAUGGAAACCUGAGCAAUGCACUGUGGGAUUUUAGGAUACAAGGACAUGGACAAAAAAAGAAAGGUUUUCUAUUACUGAGAAUACACCUAUUAUUUUACAAAGAACAAUUAUAUGGGGAAAAUCUGUUUUUGUAUAACAAUUUCCAUUUUCCAAUAUAAUACUUAAACUGAAAUCAACAUCCUUACCAUUGAGAUCCAAAAUGUUUCAAAUUCUUGAAAAACUGAACAAGAACAGAAAAAAAAACACAACUCUGAAACCUAAAAUGUAAUUAACAUGUUUCAUUGAAUUAAGUCUGAUUAUUGUUUGAACAGGUCGAGCUCUUGUGGUAGAAGCUAAUGACCCAAAUAAUGGUAAGAUAUUGUAUUUCUGUAUGCACCGGAUCCAUGUAUGAUUGAGUACAAAUCUGAUUUACAUUACACUUUGUCUUCAGCAAAUAAGGAAAUUCUUGAUCAGGAUCAAGAUUCACCAGAUGGUAAGUUACUGUAAAACAAUGUGCAUUUUCAUUGUCCAUUACA